rnacentral:lncRNA from 1 species
GGGUUAUCCAACGCAUCGGAACAACAUUCGUAUAUCAUGGGAUAUCAACAUCUUUGUCGACGUUACUUCGUUCCCCGUUUUUUACCUGUCCCUUCAUAAUUUUUACUUUACUCAUUUAUACAUGCAUGGAUAUUUCAUUGUUAUUCUACUUAUUUGGAUUGGAUUUACUAUUCUUUUUCCGCAGAAUAUUCUAACGAAAAUUGUACAGUUGUACAGUGUCCGGAUAUGUACGAUGUGGUAAAACUACCAACAAUCUCGUCAAAUUCGUCAGAUUUGUCGAGAGAUUUGUGCACAUGAAUGAAAUAGUUGUCACUUGACGUUUAACUACAAACAAAAUCAAUCAACCGACAUAAUAGAUUAACAGUAUACUAUUACCAGAAGAGAACCUCAAAUACAUUUUUUAUUAAAAAUCACAAAUGAAUUCAGACAUGUCAGUGUUGGUACAUGUACUUGGAUGAUGCGGCCUAAUAGUUUCGUUUUACACACCCUAGUGACUGUUCAAUAUUAUGAAUACAGAGAUGAAACGCUGACAUUCUCAAUGAAUGCGGAAAAAAAUGCAUUACUUGUUUUCCUUAUUGCUUACAUUUGCCGUCCUACUAACAUGUUCACAGGAGUGCCAGGAGCAGACAUAAUUAGGCACCAUCCCAACAGCGGUCAUUUAUUUUAUACAUUGAAUCCAGACAUCAAAACUAUGGCUGAUUAACUAUGCGGAUAUAUAUAAAUUUUUAAAUUAAAGUGCACAUAUGCAGGUCAGUUUUUGGUCGAUGCAGUCAAAUAAUUUUGUUGUAUAAGUCAGC